rnacentral:rRNA from 1 species
GACGAACGCUGGCGGCGUGCUUAACACAUGCAAGUCGAACGGAAAGGCCCUGCUUUUGUGGGGUGCUCGAGUGGCGAACGGGUGAGUAACACGUGAGUAACCUGCCCUUGACUUUGGGAUAACUUCAGGAAACUGGGGCUAAUACCGGAUAGGAGCUCCUGCUGCAUGGUGGGGGUUGGAAAGUUUCGGCGGUUGGGGUUGGACUCGCGGCUUAUCAGCUUGUUGGUGGGGUAGUGGCUUACCAAGGCUUUGACGGGUAGCCGGCCUGGGAGGGUGACCGGCCACCUGGGGCCUGCGAUAGGGCCCAGACUCGUACGGGAGGCAGCAGUGGGGAAUCUUGCACAGUGGGCGGAAGCCUGAUGCGGCAGCGCCGCGUGCGGGAUGACGGCCUUCGGGUUGUAAACCGCUUUCGCCUGUGACGAAGCGGGAGUGACGGUAAUGGGUAAAGAAGCACCGGCUAACUACGUG